rnacentral:rRNA from 1 species
GAUGAACGCUAGCGGGAGGCCUAACACAUGCAAGUCGAACGGGAUCCGGUAGCUUGCUACCGGUGAGAGUGGCGCACGGGUGAGUAACGCGUAUGCAACCUGCCCUUUACAGGGGGAUAGCCCAGGGAAACUUGGAUUAAUACCCCAUGGUACCCAUCUACCGCAUGGCGGAUGGGUUAAAGAUUUAUCGGUAAAGGAUGGGCAUGCGUGACAUUAGCUAGUUGGUAGGGUAACGGCCUACCAAGGCUGCGAUGUCUAGGGGUUCUGAGAGGAUGAUCCCCCACACUGGUACUGAGACACGGACCAGACUCCUACGGGAGGCAGCAGUGAGGAAUAUUGGUCAAUGGGCGCAAGCCUGAACCAGCCAUCCCGCGUGAAGGAAGACGGCCCUAUGGGUUGUAAACUUCUUUUCUGCACCAAGAAUGGGCGCCACGUGUGGCGUUAUGACGGUAGUGCAGGAAUAAGCAUCGGCUAACUCCGUGCCAGCAGCCGCGGUAAUACGGAGGAUGCAAGCGUUAUCCGGAUUCAUUGGGUUUAAAGGGUACGUAGGUGGCCCAGUAAGUCAGUGGUGAAAUCCUGCCGCUUAACGGUAGAACUGCCAUUGAUACUGCUGGG